UCUGGGACACAAUGAGGCAAUGAUUCAGCUGCCCCUGCAUUCCACACCUCCCAGCACCCAAGUCAAAAGCACAGACCCCAUGGUGACGAUUAGCUUUAUCUCUGCCUAGGAGAUGCCAACAUUUUCCUUCCACCAAUGGUUUUAAUAAUAUGGUCACCUUACUCUCCUAACUGAACCCAGUGGAGAAAUGAAUCCUGGGAAUCUGAAGGUCACAGAAGAUCACCGGAUACUUCCACGCCACCAGGUGUUCCUUUCAGAAUCGAGAAGCAGAUAACCUGUGCUUUUGGAACUGACCUUCAGCCAUGUUUUUUUUUUGUAUGUUUUGUUUUUUUGUUUUUUGGGUUUUUUGCAAUGGAUGUAGGGGGUAGGAUUCUUCCCACUGUGUACAAAAGCCAAUCAAACUUGUCUAUCACCAAACUAAGGAGGGUCUUAGACAGAAUGGACACAAUAGAAGCAGCAGAGGAAUAAGUAAAUUAGUCCUAAGAUAGAAUUCUCAUAAGAUGAAAUCUCACUCUAAUGGACAAGUUCUAGAUUGACAGAGGAAAAAAGAGAAAUCUAACUAGUGCUAUUCCUCUGUAGAUGUCAUGUGAGUACUUGCCUUUACAGGUUUGCCAUAAAUGCCUUGGAACAAAAGCCAUAUUUUAUAUCACUUUUGCGCUUCACACUGUGUCUAGCCUUGAACUGAAAACACAUACACCUUUGUGAAUUGACAGUUCCUACAAUUGUUUCUGAAAGGGGCAUUUUCUUAGCUUUUACACCUGAUCUCUCUCACUAAUUAAAAUAGCCAAUUAAAAAUAGUGGCUCAGAAUGGGAUUAGUCACUACAAUCCUGUUCAUUACUCAGUGGACAAUGAGUGAAGCUGGCUUGCUGCCAUUGUUCAGAUAUUUGGGGAUCAAAAGACUUGUGAUCCAGGCCAGAGAGUAUACAUGAUUCAACAGAUAGCACCCAGGGAUAGAAACUUCUCAGAUAGUGACAAACAUCUCAGAGACAUAAAAGUGUUUACCACCAUGGCUGGCAAAUAAAUUGAUAAACAUCC